rnacentral:rRNA from 1 species
UAAUUUUAAAAUUAUUUGUUUUAUUUGAGUUGAGUUGUAGAUUUAAUAUUUUUUUAGAAAUAAUAUAAUGUGAUAGGGGAAAGUACUGUAAAGGAAAUUAGUCUAAUUUUUAAUUUUUAAAAUGUAUUUUUAGUACCUUUUGUAUUAGGGUUUAAAAAUAAAAGAAAAAGUUUUUUAUUUCCCGAAUUUUAGGGAUCUAUUUUUAUUUAGUUUAUUUAUUUCAAAAAACAAAUAAAGUAAAGGUAGAAAUGAAAUUUUAGUCGUACUAAGAGAUAUCUGGUUAUAAAAAUAAACUAAAUGUUUUUUCAUAAAUUUGUUUUUAUUUUUAAGGUUUAUGAAUUUUUAAUUUAUGGGAUAAGCUAUAAAUUUUAUUUAUAAAUUUGGCAAAAAAAUAAAUAAGGUUUAAAAUUUGCUGUUAUUUGUAAUAAAAUUUUAUUUUUAAAAAAAAAGUUUUAAGUUUUUAUAGGUUGUAAUUAAUUUUGGUUAAAAGUCUUUUUGUUAAAAUUAGUAAAAGUUUACUGUUUAAUUGAUUUUUGAGUUUUUUUGAGUUUGAUAUUUUAAUUUUAGGAAUUCAGCAAAAAAUUUUUGGCUGUUUAUCAAAAACAUUGUAUUUUGUGUGAAUAAAAUAUAAAGCCUGCUCACUGCAAAAAUUGUAAAUUGCUGUGGUAUUUUGACUAUACGAAGGUAUUGAAAUAAGGUUUUAAAUGGGCGCUAAGAGAAUGGUUUAACGAAAAUUUUCUUUCUUUUUUUAAAAAAUUGAAGUUAAUUUUUAAGUGAAAAGGCUUAGAUGUUUUUUUGGGACAAGAAGACCCUAUGAAUUUUUAAAAAAAAAUAAUAGUAUGUAAUUUGUUUAGAAAUUUAAUAUUAUUUUUUUUUUUGGUUGGGGCGAUUGUUAAAGAUUAGGAAUCUUUAAUUUAGUUAAAUUGAUCCAUUAGUAGUGACUUUUUGAAAAAAAUACUCUAGGGAUAACAGCGUUAUAAUUUUGGAAAGUUCAUAUUGAUAAAAUUGAUUGCGACCUCGAUGUUGGAUUAGGAUACUAAAAUGGUGAAGAGGCCAUUUGGAGAAGUUUGCUCAACUUUUAAUUUCCUACAUGAUCUGAGUUCAAACCGGCGAGAGCCAGGUUGGUUUCUAUCUAAAAAAAGUUUUAUUUUAUUUUAGUACGAAAGGAAUAAGUAAGUAAGUUUAACUUUUUAUUUUUUGUUAGCAAAAA